CUACGGGGGCAGCAGUGGGGAAUAUUGGACAAUGGGCGCAAGCCUGAUCCAGCCAUGCCGCGUGAGUGACGAAGGUCUUCGGAUUGUAAAGCUCUUUUGGCGGGGACGAUAAUGACGGUACCCGCAGAAUAAGCCCCGGCUAACUUCGUGCCAGCAGCCGCGGUAAUACGAAGGGGGCUAGCGUUGUUCGGAAUUACUGGGCGUAAAGCGCACGUAGGCGGAUUGUUAAGUGAGGGGUGAAAUCCCAGGGCUCAACCCUGGAACUGCCUUUCAUACUGGCAAUCUAGAGUCCGGAAGAGGUGAGUGGAAUUCCGAGUGUAGAGGUGAAAUUCGUAGAUAUUCGGAGGAACACCAGUGGCGAAGGCGGCUCACUGGUCCGGUACUGACGCUGAGGUGCGAAAGCGUGGGGAGCAAACAGGAUUAGAAACCCUUGUAGUCC
rnacentral:rRNA from 1 species